AUGAACGCUAGCUACAGGCUUAACACAUGCAAGUUGAGGGGCAGCAUGGUCUUAGCUUGCUAAGGCCGAUGGCGACCGGCGCACGGGUGAGUAACACGUAUCCAACCUGCCGUCUACUCUUGGACAGCCUUCUGAAAAGGAAGAUUAAUACAAGAUGGCAUCAUGAGUCCACAUGUUCACAUGAUUAAAGGUAUUCCGGUAGACGAUGGGGAUGCGUUCCAUUAGAUAGUAGGCGGGGUAACGGCCCACCAAGGCGACGAUCAGUAGGGGUUCUGAGAGGAAGGUCCCCCACAUUGGAACUGAGACACGGUCCAAACUCCUACGGGAGGCAGCAGUGAGGAAUAUUGGUCAAUGGACGAGAGUCUGAACCAGCCAAGUAGCGUGCAGGAUGACGGCCCUAUGGGUUGUAAACUGCUUUUAUAAGGGAAUAAAGUGGGAGUCGUGACUCUUUUUGCAUGUACCUUAUGAAUAAGGACCGGCUAAUUCCGUG
rnacentral:rRNA from 1 species